AGAGUUUGAUCCUGGCUCAGGAUGAACGCUAGCGGCAGGCUUAACACAUGCAAGUCGAGGGGUAACAGGGUUUAGUUUACUAGAUUGCUGACGACCGGCGCACGGGUGAGUAACGCGUAUACAAUUUACCUUUUACAGGAGAAUAGCCCAGAGAAAUUUGGAUUAAUGCUCCAUGGUAUUAUUGAUUGGCAUCGAUUAAUAAUUAAAGAUUUAUCGGUAAGAGAUGAGUAUGCGUCCUAUUAGCUAGAUGGUAAGGUAACGGCUUACCAUGGCAACGAUAGGUAGGGGUCCUGAGAGGGAGAUCCCCCACACUGGUACUGAGACACGGACCAGACUCCUACGGGAGGCAGCAGUGAGGAAUAUUGGGCAAUGGAGGCAACUCUGACCCAGCCAUGCCGCGUGCAGGAAGACGGCCCUAUGGGUUGUAAACUGCUUUUAUAGAGGAAGAAACCCCUUCACGUGUGAAGGGCUGACGGUACUCUACGAAUAAGCACCGGCUAACUCCGUGCCAGCAGCCGCGGUAAUACGGAGGGUGCAAGCGUUAUCCGGAAUCAUUGGGUUUAAAGGGUCCGUAGGCGGGCAAUUAAGUCAGGGGUGAAAUCCCACAGCUCAACUGUGGAACUGCCUUUGAUACUGGUUGUCUUGAGUUAUAGUGAAGUAGAUAGAAUGUGUAGUGUAGCGGUGAAAUGCAUAGAUAUUAC
rnacentral:rRNA from 1 species